rnacentral:lncRNA from 1 species
AGAAGUGACAUAUGCAGCAUGACCAGUGGAAGCUUCGAAGAGCUAUUGCCAAUUUCCACCCUCUCUCUGGAAACUGUCAUUAGGGUUAGGGAAACUGUCAUGAGAUCUGCAUAUUUUAGAUAGAGGCUGCUUGCCUUAUUUGGGCACCUAAUGAAAAAGACAUGGAGGCCAGGUGCGGUGGCUCAUGUCUGUAAUCCCAGCACUUUGGGAGGCCAAGGCGAGUGGAUCACCUGAGGUCAGGAGUUCGAGACCAGCCUGACCAACAUGGCAAAACCCCGUCUGUACUAAAAGUGCAAACACAAAGGGAACUGCGUGGCUUGUUUCUACCUGAACAUUGUCAAGUGAUUUCAUCCUUUGAAACACAGUUGUGAAGUGUGUCCAGCAGUCUGAGAACAAGAAGAAGAAGAAAAUCUAAUCCUUCAGGGUGUCUGUGUGCCAGCCCUGCUCUCAGCACUUCCCAUGUGGAACUCCUUUACUUCUCCUAACAACUCCAUGACAUGGGUUAGACUGUGAUUGUUCCCAUAUUGUUGGUAGGGAAACUGAGGCAUGCAGGUGUUACAGAGCUCUCUCAAGUGGCAAGCUUUCUGGGUGGUUACAGAGUGGCAGAGCUGGGGUAUCCCAUGAUGUCACCACACUGCUAUAUGGAAAAGAACAUUAAUCGAGCACCUACGUGCUUGAUUCUCUUAAUUCUGUGACUGAACUCUCAAAACACCCUGGGUAAGCACUAUCAUCUCCUAUUUUCACAAGUGAAAAAACUGGGAUUCAAAAAAAUUAAGUGACUUACCAAAUAUUACAGAGCUAGUAAGCCAAGACUUGAACACUGAGAUGGAAUUCUACCUUUUAAGGUGGCUAAGCAACAGAAGGAUGUUCCUUUCCCAAGGGGGUAAGAAGCAGUGGCCAUGUUCAGCACAAUUGUCCUAUCACAGGUUCAUGGCAGGGACCGAGCAGUGAGGAUGGGCACUGCCCUGUGUCCUAGCAGAGGGCUGCCUUCUGGCUCCCCAGCCUUGGCCAGCAGCCCUUCUAUCUUCAUGCCAUGACCUAUUUUUGUUCACCCAGUUAGUGUAUGGCCUAUUUCUUUCCUUAAGAAUUACUUCAUAACUUUCACAGAGUAAUAGCACAUGCUGAGCACAGCAUUCAUGAACUUGGACACACGCACACAAAAUGUCCCUUUAAAUUCACAGAGCAGUAUCUGAGAUCCAGGUAGAAAGACCAAAAGGAAAAUUAAGAACAGACUCUCAGACCUGCCUUCCCUUUGCAUUCAGCACUCCACGAAGAGGCCUUGGCUAGCUGCACAUCUCCCUACAUGGGUAUGUCAAGAUCACCAACUCUGCUUACAGCAGUUCCCAGAUGAAACUCUUCAUAAUUUCAGAUGCACCUUUAAUACCAGUGAAGGUUUACCUCCAGGCCCACAGUCUGGGUCUUUCCAGAGACACCCACAGCAAGAUGUCACCUGCUUUUUGAUGUCAUCAGAGUCAAACACAAACACCCACCACUGUGGUUUCCAUGUCUAAUUCGCAAAUGGCUUUAACUUUGAGCUGGCCCACAAUGUUGUAUUAACCCCACUCAGGUAUCAUCUUUCUCCGUGGGUGAACCCAUAGUGACCUUUCCUUCUGAUUCUUCUUUUACUCUAAGGGCAUGAUUUUGGCAAACUGUCUAUAUGUACACUGGAAACAACUUCAACUUGCUUUUAUGUUGAUUUCACUUCUCCACUUUCAAUGCAGAAAGCUAAUCAGCAAUGCCCUAGGUUACUAAGAGAGGACAAUUCUUUCUUAGCCCAUUGAAUUAUGAGCAUUUUCUUGGAAAUGCAGCAAAAUGUGUUCUGACAGAUGCCUUUGGGUCCCUUGGGUUCUUUGCUAAGACAGCUAUAGAGAGAGGGCUCAAUAAGGUGGGGCCUGUGAUGGGACAUUGUUUUUACUGCACUGGUGAUAGAACAAAAGUCAGACAGGGCACAACACACACUGAUACAACCAAUCACCCAGUCACACUGCAGCCUUAGGAAACCCAUGAGCUUGUGGCAGCAGGCAAACUUGCUUCAGAGUUCCAAGAAUCCAAAUGUUCCUGGUGUGUCUGUUGUCUUGCGAUAUAGACUGAGAUCACAGGAUUGAAGAUACGACCAGAGUCAUGCUGUUGAAAGAGACUGGCUGAGUAGUGAUGAAAAAUAAACUUGGUCAAUCUAU